rnacentral:rRNA from 1 species
AUUGAACGCUGGCGGCAGGCUUAACACAUGCAAGUCGAGCGAGCGGCGGACGGGUGAGUAAUGUCUGGGAAACUGCCUGAUGGAGGGGGAUAACUACUGGAAACGGUAGCUAAUACCGCAUACCAUCAGAUGUGCCCAGAGGGGAUUAGCUAGUAGGUGGGGUAAGGGCUCACAUAGGCGACGAUCCCUAGCUGCUCUGCGAGGAUGACCAGCCACUCGGGAACUGAGACACGGGCCAGACUCCUACGUGCGUCAGCAGUGGGGAAUAUUGCACGAGGGACGCAAGCCUGAUGCAGCAAUGCCGCGUGCGUGAAGAAGGCUGUCGGGUUGUAAAGCACUUUCAGCGAGGAUGCGUUACUCGCAGAAGAAGCACCGGCUAACUCCGUGCCAGCCGCCGCGGUAAUUC